rnacentral:misc_RNA from 1 species
AAGUCGUAACAAGGUAACCGUAGGUGAACCUGCGGUUGGAUCAUUAAUAAAUAUAGAAGGUCUUAAAGACCUCUCUAACAUCUUGUGAAACGUUCAUGUCUCUGGUAGGCUCUUGAGCCAAGUUUAACAUUUUAUUAUUAAGUAUAAAUAUAGUCUAAAAAUCUAAAAAAGUAAUUAAAACAACUUUUGACAACGGAUCUCUAGGCUCUC